UACAGAGGGGGCAAGCGUUGUUCGGAAUUACUGGGCGUAAAGCGUGCGCAGGCGGUUGUGCAAGACCGAUGUGAAAUCCCCGGGCUUAACCUGGGAAUGGCAUUGGUGACUGCACGGCUAGAGUGUGUCAGAGGGGGGUAGAAUUCCACGUGUAGCAGUGAAAUGCGUAGAGAUGUGGAGGAAUACCGAUGGCGAAGGCAGCCCCCUGGGAUAACACUGACGCUCAUGCACGAAAGCGUGGGGAGCAAACAGG
rnacentral:rRNA from 1 species